GAAAAAUCAGGAGGCGGAGGUAACGACGUCAGAAGGCCCAGAGUCCCGUCUUUCUCCAGAAGCCGUCGUCUUCCGUCAAGAGUCCUCUCUCCCUCGCUCGAGCACCACAUAGCUACCAGCUGUGUGACUGGAGGCGCCCCCCUUAGUCAACUGAGCGUCCACGCCGCUCACGCAAACUUUCGCUUUUUCCUCCACUCUGAGGCUGUGCGUGCUCUCGCCGCUUCCCCUUUCUUCUUCCAGACAUUCUUUAAACCUCCAGCAAUUUGUACAGCUGUGUCACGAGUCCAGCGGCUCAUCACACACGCGUCCUGUCCACUUGCGCGGGUGCCUCGAUUGGAACGCCGUCCGUUUUUUUCGUCUCCAGACAGGUGCUUAUCCUUCUAUUCUCAUGGUGGAUAGACGGAGCUAACCACGCGGGAAAUCACUUGCGAUGUGGGUAGAUGCAAAUGUGCUGCGUACACGGGUAGACCCUCAACUCCGCAUAUACAGCCGCUUGAGGGUCCCUUGUUGAUGGUGGGCCACAGCACGGCCGGCUUCGACAAGCACUCGUUCCGUUUCAGUUAAUCAGCCCCUGUUUUUCUUGUAGUCAACCCCGCAUAAGCCGAUGCAUGGCGCUGUAUACGCUCUAGCGCUACUGCAUUGCCACCCAGUAUGUCCAACGUCCCUCUCAAGGUGUGAUCCUUCGUCUCUUCUGCAUGUGCGGGAAGCAUUGAUUUCUCCCGUAUCUCAGUAUUGCUUCAGGUUAGAUUCGUUUCCUCCGUUUUUCUCGGCUCCGGGUUCGCACGCGUUGUCAGGACCACCCGACCUGCUGCCGACAGAUCGGCGUGGUGACUGAAUUGUCUCUACGGCUGACCUCAGCCUUGCAUGACGCGUACCCUUUUGUCCAGUUUAUCUCCCUCCCAUCUUUUGUCUGUGAUUUCUGAAUCUUCUUGACGUCUCCACACCCGCGGGCUGUCCUCUCUCGUUGCGCGUCUGUGCCCCGUGUCCACUGCUUCCUCUCUUGGCUGCCUUCGUCGCCGCCCCGUUGCCAAAUACACAAAUAUAAAGUUUCUUCUACUCACACAUACUAUAUAUAAAUACGCCGAUGCACCUAUCCACGUAUACCGGCGUUAAUCGGUGCGUCGUAUCCUAAAACAGGUUCAUUUCUUGCUGAAAGAUAUGCACAUGUCUUCAGUAGAAUUCGACAUGGUCACACUUCCGACAUGUGCCCGAAUUUCGACAUGUAAACAUACUUUUUCCACAUGAAUAGAGAAGUAUGUAUGCAUGUAUAUGCUCGUACAUGCACAGGCACAUAUACAUGUGGAUAGAUGUACAUGUGUGGUUGCAUGUACUGGGUUUAGGGGAUGUAUGCUCCCAAGCUGGGAAUGCAACACGUGUGAGAAAGGAGACGAGUAGAGAAGGGUUUAGGGAGUUUCUUCUACUAAGAAAUGCAUAUGC
rnacentral:lncRNA from 1 species